AUUAACGUGUGGUGAGCUGGUGA
rnacentral:siRNA from 1 species